rnacentral:rRNA from 1 species
GACGAACGCUGGCGGCGUGCUUAACACAUGCAAGUCGAACGGAAAGGCCCUGCUUUUGUGGGGUGCUCGAGUGGCGAACGGGUGAGUAACACGUGAGUAACCUGCCCUUGACUUUGGGAUAACUUCAGGAAACUGGGGCUAAUACCGGAUAGGAGCUCCUGCUGCAUGGUGGGGGUUGGAAAGUUUCGGCGGUUGGGGAUGGACUCGCGGCUUAUCAGCUUGUUGGUGGGGUAGUGGCUUACCAAGGCUUUGACGGGUAGCCGGCCUGAGAGGGUGACCGGCCACAGUGGGACUGAGAUACGGCCCAGACUCCUACGGGAGGCAGCAGUGGGGAAUAUUGCACAAUGGGCGGAAGCCUGAUGCAGCAACGCCGCGUGCGGGAUGACGGCCUUCGGGUUGUAAACCGCUUUCGCCUGUGACGAAGCGUGAGUGACGGGAAUGGGUAAAGAAGCACCGGCUAACUACGU